rnacentral:rRNA from 1 species
AUUGAACGCUGGCGGCAGGCCUAACACAUGCAAGUCGAGCGGAUGAAGGGAGCUUGCUCCUGGAUUCAGCGGCGGACGGGUGAGUAAUGCCUAGGAAUCUGCCUGGUCGUGGGGGAUAACGUCCGGAAACGGGCGCUAAUACCGCAUACGUCCUGAGGGAGAAAGUGGGGGAUCUUCGGACCUCACGCUAUCAGAUGAGCCUAGGUCGGAUUAGCUAGUUGGUGGGGUAAAGGCCUACCAAGGCGACGAUCCGUAACUGGUCUGAGAGGAUGAUCAGUCACACUGGAACUGAGACACGGUCCAGACUCCUACGGGAGGCAGCAGUGGGGAAUAUUGGACAAUGGGCGAAAGCCUGAUCCAGCCAUGCCGCGUGUGUGAAGAAGGUCUUCGGAUUGUAAAGCACUUUAAGUUGGGAGGAAGGGCAGUAAGUGAAUACCUUGCUGUUUUGACGUUACCAACAGAAUAAGCACCGGCUAACUUCGUG